AACGAACGCUGGCGGCAGGCUUAACACAUGCAAGUCGAACGCACCUUUCGGGGUGAGUGGCAGACGGGUGAGUAACGCGUGGGAAUCUACCCUUCUCUACGGGAUAGCUCCGGGAAACUGGAAUUAAUACCGUAUACGUCCUGAGGGAGAAAGAUUUAUCGGGGAAGGAUGAGCCCGCGUUGGAUUAGCUAGUUGGUGGGGUAAAGGCCUACCAAGGCGACGAUCCAUAGCUGGUCUAAGAGGAUGAUCAGCCACAUUGGGACUGAGACACGGCCCAAACUCCUACGGGAGGCAGCAGUGGGGAAUAUUGGACUAUGGGCGCAAGCCUGAUCCAGCCAUGCCGCGUGAGUGAUGAAGGCCCUAGGGUUGUAAAGCUCUUUCAGUGGGGACGAUAAUGACGGUACCCACAGAAGAAGCCCCGGCUAACUUCGUG
rnacentral:rRNA from 1 species